ensembl:lncRNA
GCUCCACAGGGUGGUGGGUGAGGCUUCCUCAGCUGAGAGGUGCCAGCCAGGUAUUUAUUUGGCACUGGUUAACAAGGCCUGCCUUCCUGCCAGUGCUCACCUCCGUCAUCCACCCUCUUCUUUUGGGAGUAUCCAAACUGGAUGGAGCCAGUUAGUGCUCUGCGUAAAGGAUGUGGCAGUCGGGAUUCAAAGAUUCUUUCAGCAUCAUGCAGGUCUGGGAGGGACUAACAUCUCUGUAACGAUGGGGCUUUGUGACACUGUUCACAGGGAUGGUGAACAUGCAGUCAGAUGCCUUCUACAUAGCUUAUACAAUUAGAUAAUUACAACGUACAGUAAUUUCAUUAAGUUUUAGUGUUUCUUGCUUGCGCUGUUAUUAUGAGUGUGACUGAUACUUGCUGUUCGAUGUCAACCAUUACGCACAGAUGUUUCAGUAGCAGUCAUACUUAUUUUAGGGAAAAAAGUCUUUCCUUUGCUUCUGGUUUUUUUUCAGUUCUUUUCCAUGGGUGUUCACCCAUAGGUGUACAUGUGAAUUUAUUUUUUCUGAUGCUUUUUUAAAAUUUGUAUUGAAUUAACACUUUGUGGAGAACAUACAAGGAUUGCUAAUUAAUGCCUUCCAUGCCUGCUGCCGACAGGUGUGGCUUCCAGCCGUGCUGGUGCAGCCUGCCCCGUCUGCCCUGCUCGGUGUGGGGGGAGCAGGGAGGGCAGUUUGCAAUGGGAAAGGUGUGGCAUCAGAAAUGGUGUGGUAUGGAACGUGAUGACUAUUUCUUUUCACUUAGCUUCCUCGCAGUGGAGUGGAAAACGCUGUGUGCUCAGGAAGUAUCUGGCAAACGAUGCACAAAAAGCAGGACCUGAAGGCUGACGUGGCUCCUGCAGUGACGGGCACAGCUGAUUUAUGUGUGCUUCUCCAUGAAACACGGGCUCGUGGGUUAGCCUAAGUUCAAAAUCACUUAGAAGUAGGAAAGUAGGAAUAGUUUAAGAAAUGCAGGCACUUCUCACAACUCGGGAACAUAAUACUGACAGGCAAAGUAAUACACAAGACAGAAAUACAUCAGGAAUCUGCUGCAAAUUGAGUUCUCUCAAGAAAAAGGUUGUUCUUAU